rnacentral:rRNA from 1 species
GAUGAACGCUAGCGGCAGGCCUAAUACAUGCAAGUCGGACGGGAUCCAUCGGAGAGCUUGCUCGAAGAUGGUGAGAGUGGCGCACGGGUGCGUAACGCGUGAGCAACCUACCUCUAUCAGGGGGAUAGCCUCUCGAAAGAGAGAUUAACGCCGCAUAACAUCAACAGUUCGCAUGUCCGGUUGAUUAAAUAUUUAUAGGAUAGAGAUGGGCUCGCGCGACAUUAGCUAGUUGGUAGGGUAACGGCCUACCAAGGCGACGAUGUCUAGGGGCUCUGAGAGGAGAAUCCCCCACACUGGUACUGAGACACGGACCAGACUCCUACGGGAGGCAGCAGUAAGGAAUAUUGGUCAAUGGGCGGAAGCCUGAACCAGCCAUGCCGCGUGCAGGACGACUGCCCUAUGGGUUGUAAACUGCUUUUGUCCAGGAAUAAACCUCCUUACGUGUAGAGAGCUGAAUGUACUGGAAGAAUAAGGAUCGGCUAACUCCGUGCCAGCCGCCGCCGUAAAAC